GGAAAGAUGGCCGAGUGGUUAAGGCGCUACGUUUAGGCAAUCAUAAGAAAUUGCAUGAUCUACCGUAGUGGGAAACCGCGUGGGUUCGAAUCCCACUCUUUUCA